CAAAAAAACUGUACUGAAAAACUCUCGUAACAUAACGGUGGUACAGUUGACGUCACAGCCGCCAUGUUAGUGUCACACAUACUGUACAUUUCGGUCUUGGAGCCUCGCUCUCACCAUAGGGCUCUCAUUAGUACAUUACGCAAGGUUGAGAGCGAGGCUCCCAGGCCAAAUCACGUAAUUAUCGAAAGGGUGUAUUCAAAAGAAUUUUAAUUAGACUCUUCUGUCUGGGACACCAACAUGGCCGCCAAGGUUUUUUUAAUGCGGUUACCAUGUUACAACGACACCA
rnacentral:lncRNA from 1 species